AACGAACGCUGGCGGCAGGCUUAACACAUGCAAGUCGAGCGAGACCUUCGGGUCUAGCGGCGGACGGGUGAGUAACGCGUGGGAACGUGCCCUUCUCUACGGAAUAGCCCCGGGAAACUGGGAGUAAUACCGUAUACGCCCUUUGGGGGAAAGAUUUAUCGGAGAAGGAUCGGCCCGCGUUGGAUUAGGUAGUUGGUGGGGUAAUGGCCCACCAAGCCGACGAUCCAUAGCUGGUUUGAGAGGAUGAUCAGCCACACUGGGACUGAGACACGGCCCAGACUCCUACGGGAGGCAGCAGUGGGGAAUCUUAGACAAUGGGGGCAACCCUGAUCUAGCCAUGCCGCGUGAGUGAUGAAGGCCUUAGGGUUGUAAAGCUCUUUCAGCUGGGAAGAUAAUGACGGUACCAGCAGAAGAAGCCCCGGCUAACUUCGUG
rnacentral:rRNA from 1 species